rnacentral:rRNA from 1 species
AUACGGAGGAUCCGAGCGUUAUCCGGAUUUAUUGGGUUUAAAGGGUGCGUAGGUGGUUUGAUAAGUCAGCGGUGAAAGUUUGCAGCUUAACUGUAAAAAUGCCGUUGAAACUGUCGGACUUGAGUGUAAAUGAGGUAGGCGGAAUGCGUGGUGUAGCGGUGAAAUGCAUAGAUAUCACGCAGAACUCCGAUUGCGGAGGCAGCUUACUAAGCUACAACUGACACUGAAGCACGAAAGCGUGGGGAUCAAACAGGAUUAGAUACCCUGGUAGUCCACGCAGUAAACGAUGAUUACUAGCUGUUUGCGAUACACAGUAAGCGGCACAGCGAAAGCGUUAAGUAAUCCACCUGGGGAGUACGCCGGCAACGGUGAAACUCAAAUGAAUUGACGGGG